GGCUGCGGGUCCUCCGCCGCUCGCUCCAGGAAGCGCCGGAAGGGCCGCGCUUCUCCACCCUUCUCCCCGGACCCCCCAGGGUCGUCGGGAUCCCCGCGCAGCUUCCCGCGCGCGGCCCGCCCUGCGCUGCGCAGACGCCGGGGCCCACGGCUCCGCCCCCUCCCGCCUCCCCUUGACAGGCAGCUGUGUCAGCCAACUGGACGGAGGACCUGGAGGCUGGCCCCGCCCAGGUGUGGCGCAGGGGGCACGGCGGCUUCCGGGAGAGGCGCUUUCCCAGAAGGCCACAGAAAAUCCGCGGUCGGGUUUUCAUUGGUUUAACUAGGCAGAGAACCCGGUCCGGUUCGUCAGGUGGGCUUCUUGAUUGGAUGAAAUAUCCCAGGUCCCGCCCCCGGAGCAAGAGCCGGGAGAGGUGUGUCCCGCGGAGCGGAGGCCGCCUGACUGGAGAGGACGGGGAGGGCUGGUGCGGCGACCUCAGGUUCUUGCCCUAUGACCUCCAUUCGCCUGCCGUCGGGGAAAUUCUACUUAAUAGACGACUUGAUGCUAUCUCGGAAAGCCAGCACCAGAGGCAGGCAGGGACCCGCGGAGGCGUCCGCACAGGCACGGCAGGAACUAGCUGCAUCGCAGCCAACUUGGAACUGGAGCUUUUCUUUAGAACCACAGGCUCAGAGCCACGGACACAGUAAGAUAUGGGAAACUUACCGUUUACAGCGAAAAUUUAAUAAUAAUAAAGGUUUCUUUAGAUACAGGAUCCUCAACUCCUUCCACUGGUCUGAGAGACUGAAUAAUUUCUUGCAAAACUGGGAGCCCUCUGGGAAAACUGGGAGCAUGCUGGGAGUUUACUAACUUUGCCGCGUCUUUAGUGUGUGGUGCGUUUACCUCAUACCCUGUUGACCGCCUUUCCAGGUACCUUUACUUACAUUCCUGAGAAAACCCUUGCUCUCAGAUUUCAUGACCAAUUUAGACACUGGGUGGGCUCUUUAAUAUGUAGUAUAGGCAAACUACUUUUACUUAAAUCAUGUAGGUGAAGAAUUCGGAUUAUAAAAAAUAUAAGGUGGGGCUGAGUAGAGAGGGUGAAAUACCAUCUUUGUUUUUGUUGUUGUUUUUAGAGAUUUUAUUGAUUCAUUCAUGAGAGACACACAGAGAGAGGCAAAGACAGAGGCAGAGGGAGAAGCAGGCUCCCUGUGGGGAGCCCAAUGUGGGACUGGAUCCCAGGACCCCAGGAUCAUGCCCUGGGCCAAAGGCAGGUGCUGAACCACUGAGCUACUCUGGUGCCCUGAAAUAGCAUCUUUGAAGGAGUAUAUCACAGACAUGUCUUUAUAAAGCCUGGGACAGUGAAAUUAGGAUUUAAUGUACAAAAAUCCUAAUCACAAAUAAGUCAAUCCAAGAAGGACGAACAUUAUAUGGUCUCAUUCAUUUGGGGAGUAUAAAUAAUAGUGAAAGGGAAUAUAAGGGAAGGGAGAAGAAAUGGGUAGGAAAUAUCGAAAGGGAGACACAACAUAAAGACUCCUAACUCUGGGAAACGAACUAGGGGUGGUGGAAGGGGAGGAGGGCGGGGGG
ensembl:lncRNA